AUCGGGGUUGCGGACAGUGUCUGGUGGGUAGUUUGACUGGGGCGGUCUCCUCCUAAAGAGUAACGGAGGAGCACGAAGGUCAGCUAAUCCUGGUCGGACAUCAGGAGGUUAGUGCAAUGGCAUAAGCUGGCUUGACUGCGAGCGUGACGGCGCGAGCAGGUGCGAAAGCAGGUCAUAGUGAUCCGGUGGUUCUGAAUGGAAGGGCCAUCGCUCAACGGAUAAAAGGUACUCCGGGGAUAACAGGCUGAUACCGCCCAAGAGUUCAUAUCGACGGCGGUGUUUGGCACCUCGAUGUCGGCUCAUCACAUCCUGGGGCUGAAGUAGGUCCCAAGGGUAUGGCUGUUCGCCAUUUAAAGUGGUACGCGAGCUGGGUUUAGAACGUCGUGAGACAGUUCGGUCCCUAUCUGCCGUGGGCGCUGGAGAAUUGAGGGGGGCUGCUCCUAGUACGAGAGGACCGGAGUGGACGCAUCACUGGUGUUCGGGUUGUCAUGCCAAUGGCAUUGCCCGGUAGCUAAAUGCGGAAGAGAUAAGUGCUGAAAGCAUCUAAGCACGAAACUUGCCCCGAGAUGAGUUCUCCCUGAC
rnacentral:rRNA from 1 species